GCUCAAGUUAGCUGGAAGCAGCGAAGUUUCAAGGCUAGAAGAGAAUUUUCAUUAUUUAUCAAGCCCCUGACUUGGCCCUCCGGAGGCUAAGUUGCAGGUUCGAUCCCUGCCGAGAGCGCCA
rnacentral:tRNA from 1 species